rnacentral:rRNA from 1 species
GAUGAACGCUGGCGGCGUGCCUAAUACAUGCAAGUCGAGCGAACAGACGAUGAUCUUGCUCCUCUGACGUUAGCGGCGGACGGGUGAAUAACACGUGUAUAACCUACCUAUAAGACUGGGAUAACUUCGGGAAACCGGAUCUAAUACCGGAUAAUAUAUUGAACCGCAUUGUUCAAUAGUGAAAGACGGUUUUGCUGUCACUUAUAGAUGGAUCCGCGCCGCAUUAGCUAGUUGGUAAGGUAACGGCUUACCGAGGCAACGAUGCGUAGCCGACCUGAUAGGGUGAUCGGCCACACUGGAACGGAGACACGGUCCAGACUCCUACGGGAGGCAGCAGUAGGGAAUCUUCCGCAAUGGGCGAAAGCAUGACGGAGCAAGGCCGAGUGAGUUAUGAAGGUCUUCGGAUCGUAAAACUCUGUUAUUAGGGAAGAACAAAUGUGUAAGUAACUAUGCACGUCUUGACGGUACCUAAUCAGAAAGCCACGGCUAACUACGUG